UACGAGGGGGGCAAGCGUUGUCCGGAUUUAUUGGGCGUAAAGAGCGUGUAGGCGGUCAGGUAGGUCGGUUGUGAAAACUGGAGGCUCAACCUUCAGAGGUCGACCGAAACCCCCUGGCUAGAGUCCGGGAGAGGAGAGUGGAAUUCCUGGUGUAGCGGUGAAAUGCGCAGAUAUCAGGAAGAACACCCGUGGCGAAAGCGGCUCUCUGGAACGGUACUGACGCUGAGACGCGAAAGCGUGGGGAGCGAACAGG
rnacentral:rRNA from 1 species